rnacentral:rRNA from 1 species
GACGAACGCUGGCGGCGUGCUUAACACAUGCAAGUCGAACGAAGAGGGCUGGAUGCUUUCUUGUAUCAAUGUUACUGGCGUAUGGGUGAGGAACGCGUAAUCAACCUGCCCUUCAGAGGGGGACAACAGUAGGAAACGACUGCUAAUACCACAUACGAUCGAAUCGCGGCAUCGAGGAUAGAGGAAAGGUGGCCUCUACAGGUAAGCUGGCACUGAAGGAGGGGAUUGCGUCUGUUUAGCUAGUUGGAGGGGUAACGGCCCACGAAGGGGAUGAGCAGUAGCCGGUAGGAGAGGAUGAACGGCCACAUUGGGACUGAGACCCGGCACAGACUCCUACGGGAGGCAGCAGUGGGGAAUCUGCAGCAAUGGACGAAAGUCUGACGGAGCAAGGCCGCGUGAGCGAUGAGGGACUUCGGGUUGUAAAGCUCGGUUAAUCGGGAGGAAAGGGCUUCUUGCGAAUAGGGAGAAGGAUUGACGGUACCGGAAUAGAAAGCAACGGCUAACUACGUG